rnacentral:rRNA from 1 species
GACGAACGCUGGCGGCGUGCUUAAUACAUGCAAGUCGAGCGAACGGACGAGAAGCUUGUUUCUUUGUCGUUAGCGGAGGACGGGAGGGUAACAUGUGUAUACUCUACUUAUAUGACUGGUAUAUUCACGAGAAACCGGCGCUAAUACCGGAUGAUCUUCUGAUCCGUAUGGUUCAAUAGUAAAAUACGGCCUUGCUGUCUCUUAUAGCUGGAUACGCGCUGCAUUAGCUAGUUGGUAAGGUAACGGGUUUCCAAGGCAACGAUGCAUAGCCGACUUGAGAGGGUGAUAGGCGGCACUGGAACUGAGACGCGGUCCAUGCUCCUGCGAGAGGGAGCAGUAGGGAAUCUGACGCAGUAGGCGGAAACCUGGCGGAGCGGCGCCACGUGUGUGAUAGAGAUCUUCGGAUCGUAAAGCUCUGUUAUGGGGUGUAAACAUAUGUCUAAGUAGCUGUACACAGCGUGACGGUACCUAGUCAAGAAGCCACGGCUAACUACGUG